GGGUCAGUAGGUUGGUCGUGCCACCGGUACGUACUGGUCUCACUGAUUCCUCCUUCCUGAAGAACCGUAAUGCCAUUAAUUUGGUGUUGCGGGGAAACAGGACCGUUACUUUGAAAAAAUUAGAGUGUUUAAAGCAAGCUAACGCUUGAAUACGUUAGCAUGGAAUAAUGAAAUAGGACGAUCGAUCCUAUUUUGUUGGUUUCUAGGAUUGACGUA
rnacentral:rRNA from 1 species